GGUAUCUGUCUGGUCGUGUUGGGGUGUCUGUCUGGUAGUGUUGGGGUGUCUGUCUGAUAGUGUUGGGGUGUCUGUCUGGUCGUGUUGGGGUGUCUGUCUGGUAGUGUUGGGUGUCUGUCUGAUAGUGUUGAGGUGUCUGUCUGGUACUGUUGGUGUGUCUGUCUGAUAGUGUUCGGAUGUCUGUCUGAUAGUGUUGGGGUGUCUGUCUGAUAGUGUUGAGGAGUCUGUCUUUUAGUGUUGGGGUGUCUGUCUGAUAGUGUUGAGGUGUCUGUCUGGUAGUGUUGGGGUGUCUGUCUGUUAGUGUUGGGGUGUCUGUCUGAUAGUGUUGGGGUAUCUGUCUGGUCAUGUUGAGGUGUCUGUCUGGUAGUUUUGGGGUGUCUGUCUGAUAGUGUUGGGGUGUCUGUCUGAUAGUGUUGGGCUGUCUGUCUGGUCGUGUUGUGGUGUCUGUCUGGUCGUGUUGGGGUGUCUGUCUGAUAGUGUUGGGGUGUCUGUCUGGUAGUGUUGGGGUGUCUGUCUGAUAGUGUUGGGGUGUCUGUCUGGUAGUGUUGGGUGUCUGUCUGAUAGUGUUGGGGUGUCUGUCUGGUAGUGUUGGGGUGUCUGUCUGAUAGUGUUCGGGUGUCUGUCUGAUAGUGUUGGGGUGUCUGUCUGAUAGUGUUGAGGAGUCUGUCUGGUAGUGUUGGGGUGUCUGUCUGAUAGUGUUGAGGUGUCUGUCUGGUAGUGUUGGGGUGUCUGUCUGUUAGUGUUGGGGUGUCUCUCUGAUAGUGUUGGGGUAUCUGUCUGGUCGUGUUGAGGUGUCUGUCUGGUAGUUUUGGAGUGUCUGUCUGGUAGUGUUGGGGUGUCUGUCUGAUAGUGUUGGGCUGUCUGUCUGAUAGUGUUGGGGUGUCUGUCUGAUAGUGUUGAGGAGUCUGUCUGGUAGUGUUGGGUUGUCUGUCUGAUAGUGUUGGGGUAUCUGUCUGGUCGUGUUGAGGUGUCUGUCUGGUAGUUUUGGGGUGUCUGUAUGACAGUGUUGGGGUGUCUGUCUGGUCGUGUUGGUGUGUCUGUCUGAUAGUGUUGAGGAGUCUGUCUGAUAGUGUUGGG
rnacentral:lncRNA from 1 species